GGCUGGAAUGCAGAAGUGGAGCUAGAAAAUAAUCUUUAACCAUGUGGAUGAGGAUACAGGAAGGCUAUAAAAUGGAAGGAACCUGUGACUCUGAAUGUUCCGGUGCAUAUGGAUAUUUGAACAGGUUAAGCUGUGCGUUACUCAGGAUAGUUUGGUUGAUGCUGUAACAAACAAACAAAUCUCAAAGCAUGGUGGCUUAACAUAACAGAGGUUUAUUUUUCACUUAUGCUCCAUGUCCAACCUAAAUCAGUAGAGUGGUUCUGCUCAGGGACCCAGCCUAACGGAGGGCUUCAUCUAAAUAUGCUCUUUAAUGAACACACAGGAGUCCAACCGUGCUCUGUUGCUUCAAGUUUCCAGCUGGGAAUCAACCACAUCAGUCCACUCAACAGUGCAAGUCACACAGUCUCAUCUCAUUCAAAGAGGGUUGAGGAUGGAUAAUCCUAGUGUGUUCCCAGAAGGAAGAGAAACCCAGAAUAUUUGUGACCAGUCCUAAAGACUAUCUGAGCUUCUGGCUUAGUAUACCUUAGCUUGUGCUCCCCCCAAAAAGCUCCCUGGGUGUGGACCAGCCCCAACUCUGCAGGGAUGUGCUGCAUCCUAGAGCCCGAGCUGUGUCCCUGCUGACCACGUGCUCCGUGCCCUUACCAGUUGCUGCGCCACUCUCGCUGGUAGACAAUGCAGACUGCAUGUCCCACCUUCGAAGAUGACUUUCCCUGGUUCCCAAGUCGGUGUUUGCAAUGUGAGAAUCAGGCCUCCUGCUGCAUAUGUAUGAACAGACAACAUUGUCCCAUACCCAAGUUGGCUAAACAAGUAACCUGUUUGCUUUUAUUGGAGGUGUUGCUGUGGAGCUGAAAUGCACCCUCACAGACCUUUUUUUGUGGAAUUACACCUGUUUGAAUUCACAACAAUUCUGUUCCAGUGACUUUGAGGAUUCAAGGACAAGACCCUUUAAAAAAAAAAACAGCUGGGUUUGAAGCAAGUUGAGAAACCUAUAAUGUGUAUUAUUGAUUAUUUUCCCAUCUCUGCAAAGGCAAAGAUACUAAAAAUAGUGAAGCCACUUAUCACAGCCUCCUCCAAGGCCCUGUGCUGAAUUUCGCAUUUGUACUUUCCUAUUCUUGAAGAGAACUUCCCCACUGCCUAAUAUACAGGCAUUCUAAAACCUGGAUUCAUUCUUGAACCUGUGAAAAUCAGGCCACACCAGCCUGGGAAUAAAGUCAGAGACAAAAGAAUAUUUUUCUAAUUCUACAACAUCUUGUUAUGUUUAAAAUAAAUUAACAGAAUUUG